UCAAGUUCCCUGGAAGGGGGCGUCAGAGAGGGUGAGAACCCCGUCGGGUCCUGGUGCAGCUGCCUCACGAGGUGCUUUCGAAGAGUCGGGUUGCUUGGGAAUGCAGCCCAAAGUUGGUGGUAAAUCCCAUCUAAGGCUAAAUACUGGCGAGAGACCGAUAGCGAACAAGUACCGCGAGGGAAAGAUGAAAAGAACUUUGAAAAGAGAGUUAAAAAGUGCUUGAAAUUGUUGAGGGGGAAGCGAUUGGCAGCUGUGUGUGCGCCCAGGCUUAUGCCUCUCUAACGAGCGGCUGUAUGUGCUGGGCGCUGGUCAGCAUGGGUUGGUCUGGCAGGAUAACAGUGGGGGUUGUUACCCCGCCGAUGCUGCCGGACCGACCGAGGAAUGAAGGCCGCCCAUGUCCUUCGGGAACUGCGGCCUCAAGAUGCUGGCGGAAGGCUUUCAAUCGGCCCGUCUUGAAACACGGACCAAGGAGUCUAACAUGUAUGCGAGCUGGUGGGUGGAAAACCCAUGAAGCGCAAGUAACCUGACUGGUGGGAUGGCCGCGAGSSUUGCACCAUCGACCGACCAUGAUCUUCUGUGAAAGGUUCGAGUACGAGCAUACCUGUUGGGACCCGAAAGAUGGUGAACUAUGCCUGAGCAGGGCGAAGCCAGAGGAAACUCUGGUGGAGGCUCGUAGAUGUGCUGACGUGCAAAUCGCUUUUCGGACUUGGGUAUAGGGGCGAAAGACUAAUCGAACCAUCUAGUAGCUGGUUCCCUCCGAAGUUUCCCCCAGGAUAGCUGGAGCUCAGUCAGUUUUAUCGGGUAAAGCUAAUGAUUAGAGGUUCGGGGGAUGAAACAUCUUCCACCUAUUCUCAAACUUUAAAUAGGUAAGACGUACGGGUUGCUUAAUUGAACCCGUGCAUUCAAUGAGAGCUCCAAGUGGGCCAUUUUUGGUAAGCAGAACUGGCGAUGCGGGAUGAACCGAUAGUCGAGUUAAGGUGCCGGACUACGCGCUAACCUAGAUCCCACAAAGGGUGUUGAUUGAUACAGACAGCAGGACGGUGGUCAUGGAAGUCGAAAUCCGCUAAGGAGUGUGUAACAACUCACCUGCCGAAUCAAUUAGCCCCGAAAAUGGAUGGCGCUGAAGCGCGUGACCUAUACUCGGCCAUGGGGGCAAGUGCGAGGCC
rnacentral:rRNA from 1 species